rnacentral:lncRNA from 1 species
ACCAGGCCGGGCUGGCGGAGAGACGAGCCUCGGCCGGGUGUCCCCACCCGGAUCCCAGGCCGGGACCCCAGCUCUGGGCGCGGUCCGCCCCGCGGGCUCACCUGGUAGAUCAUGACUUUGAAGUUGCGGCGCCUCAGCAGCUCCGCCUCGUUGACCUCCAGUUUCUUUAUCUGGCCGGCCUGGCGCUCCAGGCUGCCGCGCACGGUCUUCACGUUGACGCUGACCUUGCGCACCUUCUCCAGCAACUUGCUCACGGUGUUGCUCGUGGUGGCGUGCGCCUUGCCCAGCUUGCUCAGCUCUCCCUGGAUGCUCUGCACAGCGCCCUCCAUCUCCGCCUGUCGCUCCUCCAGCUGGGCUUGGGUCAGCUGGAUCUGGUCAACGGCGCCGAUGAUUUUAUCCAGAAGGCUCAGCACCAGCACACCGUUCACCUGGUCCGACUUGAUCAGCUCGUCGGAGCCGGUCCCCGACGGCUCCUCCGUGGCCCGCGCCUCCCCUUGGGUGGGCUCCGGGCCCUCUGAGGAAGCAUCGGGAAAUCCGGAAUACGGCCGCUCAACGAUAUGGAGCGUGACAUCCUCCAUGGCUUCCCGGAGCCGUGCGGGGCCGACCGGGUGGAACUGGAGCGGGAGACCGGGAGAGAAGGAGGAGCGAGAGACUGGACAGCGAGCAGGAGCCCAGAGCGGAGGAAACUCGAGCCACGUCCGUGCGCACCGGGACUCUAGCCAGAACUGUGGGGCGGGGAAUCUGCGAGUUGCCCGGCUCCUAGACCAAACCCGGAGUCCCGUCGGCCAUUGGCUGGCCCCACCCCAGAAAGGGAGGAACCGGGGCAGGAGGGGAGACCAACCCCGGAGGGGCAGCAGAGGGGAACCCAAGAGCUGGGCGCCCCACCCUGUUCAGGAUGGUUGGAAUAGUUGGAGCGGGAGUCUAGGGCCCCCCUUGGCAGUGGAGGCUGCGGCAGCGGGACUGGGGCAGAGGAAUGUGAGCUGCGGAAAGGAAUUAGGUCUUCGGAGUGUGCUCUACUCUUUCUCUUUCCUCACCCACAAACCCACUCCAGCCUUUUAAGAUCAAGCUGAGGUCCAAAUGGCGCGUGAAUUGGGUGUAAACGAGUAGUUUGUGUCUAUGCCUCAUGUCCUUGGAGGAUCCUUGCCCUAUACAAUCUUUU